rnacentral:rRNA from 1 species
AGAAUCAACGCUGGCGGCGUGCCUAACACAUGCAAGUCGAACGAGAAAGGGUAGCAAUACCUGAGUAAAGUGGCGCACGGGUGAGUAACACGUGACUAACCUACCCUGGAGUGGGGGAUAACUGAGGGAAACCUUAGCUAAUACCGCAUAACACCUACGGGUCAAAGGAGCAAUUCGCUUCAGGAGGGGGUCGCGGCCGAUUAGUUAGUUGGCGGGGUAAUGGCCCACCAAGACAGCGAUCGGUAU